UGUCACUGAGUACAAAAGAGAGAGAUCUGCUCUAACAUCAACCACACAUCGCCGUGUGAUGAUGGAGAAAAGGAUGAUGCCACCCCGACUGUCCAUCAUGAUGGCUAGGCAGAGUAAUAGCGGACCCUGCCAACCACGAAUUAUCAGCUGAUACCCAAUGCUGUCGACUGACGUCCAUGACUCUCAGCUGAUGGCCACGCCUCUUACAUGACGUUCACGCCCCUCAGCUGACGCCCAGUGUUAUCAACUGAUGACCACGCCUCUAGUAACCAGUGCUGUCACCUGGUGACCACAGCUAUGGUGAUGACCACGCCUCCUUGGCGCCGCUGGUGUCCAGUGUUCUCUCAGCUGAUGUCCACGCCCUUUGGCCUCUCCACCCGCCUGCCACUGCUGACAAGAAGACCACGUAACGAAUCACAUUCUCUGAAGGAAUGAACUACAGUCACGACAGUCACGUGACCAGCAGACACUCUCACAACCAGGUCACGCGUCACCUGGGAAGACCUCGGGAAGACCUCGUCCAGAAGCGAACCGACCUCGCAGGAUCUGUGUGUGUGUGUGGUGUUGCUUGGUUUUUGCGAACAAACUGCCGUCCACGUCUCCUGCCUCGAUGCUGUGGCCUGGUUCCGCGAGCAGGUCUUUCCGGCCCUCGUGCAAACAGCGUCAGGAGGUGACGUACGCCGUGACGUCUUCCUGUGAACCUAACGCCCUCGGUCUAAUCACUUUGGACGAGCGCUCGGGGUCACUGGAGCCGGGAGUGUGUUAUUAAUAAGUUUAUUCGCACUUAGUCACUGUUGUGUGUCGAGCUACGCCUGGCUGCUGCGUGUUAUCAGGUCUGCCGAUGCCUGGGGCCACCGCCUCUCCUCCCGUCUGCUCGCGAUCUCCGUCGAAAGUCGAGCAAUUGAUGACUAGUCACGUCUUAGCGCUUUAUAAUGUCGGCUCCUUUACACAUCUACCCCACUUCUUCACUCUGUACUUCCUGCUCCCAUCCGUGUGUGAGACUUGAUUCACGGCCGCCGGCUGCUCAUCUCAACCGCGACCGUUCCGCGUGGCUGCCUUCAUCCCACUCUCUUCCUUCUGUGAGUCCCAUUGUUGCACACACACCAGGUGUACACUUGUGUGUAGGUAACUCUCCCUGUGUCCCACAUCCCGACAUGGAUGUCAAAGGUCGAGAUGAUAUCGACAGUAAGUGCACGGCGUGGUGUUCUGUGGAAA
rnacentral:lncRNA from 1 species